GAUGAACGCUGGCGGCGUGCCUAAUACAUGCAAGUCGAGCGAACGGACGAGAAGCUUGCUUCUCUGAUGUUAGCGGCGGACGGGUGAGUAACACGUGGAUAACCUACCUAUAAGACUGGGAUAACUUCGGGAAACCGGAGCUAAUACCGGAUAAUAUUUUGAACCGCAUGGUUCAAAAGUGAAAGACGGUCUUGCUGUCACUUAUAGAUGGAUCCGCGCUGCAUUAGCUAGUUGGUAAGGUAACGGCUUACCAAGGCAACGAUGCAUAGCCGACCUGAGAGGGUGAUCGGCCACACUGGAACUGAGACACGGUCCAGACUCCGACGGGAGGCAGCAGUAGGGAAUCUUCCGCAAUGGGCGAGAGCCUGACGGAGCAACGCCGCGUGAGUGAUGAAGGUCUUCGGAUCGUAAAACUCUGUUAUUAGGGAAGAACAUAUGUGUAAGUAACUGUGCACAUCUUGACGGUACCUAAUCAGAAAGCCACGGCUAACUACGUG
rnacentral:rRNA from 1 species